CGCGCGGCUGCCGCGAGGGGCUGUGAGGGGCGGGGGCCGCCGGCACCCCCGGUGUGGCACCUCCGCCACAGCGGCGACCUAGGGGACAGCGACGGGGCACCACAAGGGGCGCAGUCCAGCCCGGAUGGCGAAUGCGGCUGGUGCUGGAGACAAGUCGGGAACUCACCGCCAUGUUCCCUCAGCGGUAGAUACACCGCAGAGAUACUCUUUCGAAGCUGAGUUUUUAUAAUGCUGCUUACAUAUACGUGCAAAUUCCUGUAAUAUGAGUUCGGAUGGUGUACUGGGAUCAGACAGAGGAAGAGAUGACCUGAAAUAUAAUCAUCUCCUUCAGAGCUAAAGGCAUGAGAGAGAGGAAGCAAUACAGAUUUUCAGUAAAAAAAAAAACCCACAAAAAAAAACCCGCGAACCUCAACCCCCUAAUCUUCUGUUUUAGCAAUUGACAGCUGCCAGGAAUAUAAAAGCAGCUUCACAGUUUCUGUUCAAUGAAAGAACCGAGGCAGCUGUGUGUAACAUGCCACAAGUGGGACACGUUCCUCAGUGUAGAGGAGCCCAUAAUCACAUUAUGCAACAUCCGCUUACACUGCUCAAGUGCUUCGCAUAGGAGAGGGCCUGGAAAACCAGCGGCACAGGAGGCAGCAGUGGGAAGGCCCCUUUUAGGUACUUGGAAGCUGUUCUAAGGUCUCCCUGGAGCUUCCUGUUUUCUAACCUGAACAACUCGAGCUCUCUCAGCCUAUCUUCAUUGGAAAGGUGCUCCGGCCCUCUCAUCAUCUUCAUGGACUUCCUCUGGACUUGCUCCAACAGAAAUCCUUCUCCAGGAUGGUGUUUUCUUUCUGCCUGUAUGAUAUUGCCUCAAGAGAGAUGCAGCACAGCUGGUGAAUGAAUACAUGUGCUUUUUGA